GAGCGAUGCCGCGUGCGCGAUGAAGGCCUUCGGGUUGUAAAGUGCGAAAGAGGGGAGAAAAGCCCGAAAGGGCCUGAUCUAUCCUCAGUAAGCUCGGGCUAAGUUCGUGCCAGCAGCCGCGGUAAGACGAACCGAGCGAACGUUGUUCGGAAUCACUGGGCUUAAAGGGCGCGUAGGCGGGCUGUCAAGUCUGGGGUGAAAUCCCGCGGCUCAACCGUGGAACUGCCUCAGAUACUGACGGUCUCGAGGGGGAUAGGGGCGAGCGGAACUAAUGGUGGAGCGGUGAAAUGCGUUGAUAUCAUUAGGAACUCCGGUGGCGAAGGCGGCUCGCUGGAUCUCUUCUGACGCUGAGGCGCGAAAGCUAGGGGAGUAAACGGGAUUAGAUACCCCGGUAGUCCUAGCCCUAAACGUUGGGUACUAGGUAGUAGACCAG
rnacentral:rRNA from 1 species